UGCCAAACAGAGAACAACGCACCGGAAAGAAGCCACAUCCUCAGGCAGGCAUGGGCAUGAAUUGUGAGUGAAAGGUCCCCUUAAAAAGAAAGGGACUGAGCCAAGGUGAAAUUGUCGAAGCAAGAAAAGGGAAAUAGGCAGAGAAUUGGAGAGAGCCUUGAUAAUUAUUCUGAUAUUAUAAUGCUUCUUAACCAGUGAGGUAUCUGUUGUUGCACUUUCUAACUGGUUCGGCUGUGCGCUGGGUGGUCGACAAAGGCAGGGAGGGAGGAAAUGCAAAGAAGAGCAUCAUGGGAUGCUCUACCCAGCACAUCCCUAGUGGAGAUAUUUUGCAGAACCCCCAUCAAAGAUCGCUUUUGCAGCCUCCCUCUGGUAUGCAGAUCGUGGGCCGACGUUUCUCGCAACCCUCGGUGCUGGGCUUCUAUGAUCCCGGCCGAACACUCAUCAUCUGCUUGUGCUUUUGAUGAUGCCUUCAUCAAACAUUCUUCUUCUUCUUCUUCUUAUAGUCGUCUUGACAGCCUCGCUUUUGACGACCCUUUUGACGGGCGGCGCAGCCCCGAUUCCGACCGCGGACUUGCUAUGCUCCGGUCUCUGAUUACCAGAGGGGCUGGCGGAGCUGCCGUUACUUCUCUCUAUUUCUUCCCUUUUCUUACUUGUGUCGAGGCUUUCCGUCCCAAUGAUGACGCCCUCCUUCGUCUCAUUGCACAAAGUUGCCCAAACUUGAGACACCUUUCUUUUCAUGGAUCCUACAAUGCAACUGAGGGAGCAAUUUUGGAAGUAAUGAGCAAAUGCCCAAAACUAGAGCUUAUUGACUUCUCCGACUCCCCAUACUUCACUCCUACAGUUUUAGAACACAUGAGCACUUGCUGUCCCGAUGUUAGGGGGAUUAGAAGAAAUGGAUUCUUGCAACCAGGUUUCGCUUCUGGUCUUGCUGUAGGCUUUCCAAAUUUGAGGAUCUUGAAUCUCUCUGGUUCAACUAUUGUUGAUAAAGAUCUACUAACUAUCAUGACUGCAAGAAUUGGGAUUCAGUACCUAGACAUUACCAAUUGCCAGCAGUUGAAGUGUUACAUGCACAUCAUAAAGCGAGCCCCUGUUCAGAUAUCCCAAAUCCUGUUUGAUUGAGAUUCAAGAAUUGAUUACUACCAGCUAUUGAACCUUGCGAGUGCCUGCUUGUAUAACCUUCAAAAUGGUGAGUUUACCAGAAUAGAACUCCAGACUCCAGAGUCGUGUGUGGUUGUUUUCUUCCUUGGCAAUGACUUGCUGUCACAUAAAAAAAAAAUGCAAGUUGCUGACUUUCAUGGGAUUGGGCUCUUCUCGUAAAUGAUGGUGAAGAGGAGCAAAUAGCUUAUUCCAAUUGCCGUGCCAGGACAGACAGCCAGUUUGUUCCACAGAGCACUUUUGAAGUUUUAGUCUUUGGGCGGCGUUAUUGCCGGAAUAAUUUUGCUCAACAAGACAAAUGGUCAAGGCUCCCCUAAUCAAACCAAUUACCGCUGGAACCCAGUUGC